GAUUGAAUUGGAAAAAGUGGAGGAUAAUCCAAAACAUGAUGAAAUAUCAACCUUGGAAAAGUUUCUAUUUAGCUUUGGUUCACUUGAACAACUUUAUUUGGGUUCCUUGAUCCUUGAGGUAAGAAAUCUACACGUUGUUUCACUUGAAUUGGAAAAAGUGAUUGAUUGUAUUCAUCGGAUUCUAAUUAUAGUACUUGACUGAAAGCUUUUGAAUGCAAAUAUAGUUCUGGAUGAGCUUCCUCCCAAGCUCAACU